rnacentral:sRNA from 1 species
GACCGGUCCGGCAAAGACCUUGCCGUAGCCGAGCUUUUUGGCA